UGAUUUGACAUUUAUAAGUUGCUCUGGAUAAGAGCGUCUGCUAAAUGACUUAAA
rfam:Salmo salar isolate Sally breed double haploid chromosome ssa04, whole genome shotgun sequence.